AGACUCUGUGCGCGUGCAUAUCAAUAAGCGGAGGAAAAGAAACUAACAAGGAUUCCCUAGUAACGGCGAGUGAAGCGGGAAGAGCUCAAAUUUGAAAUCUUAAGGGUUUCCCUUGACGAAUUGUAGUUUAAAGAAGUGUUUUCUGUUGGAGUUUCGGUAAAAGUUCUUUGGAAUAGGACAUCAUAGAGGGUGAGAAUCCCGUAUUUGAUCGUUACUUUCCAGCUGUGUGAUACACUUUCAAAGAGUCGGAUUGUUUGGGAAUGCAGUCCAAAAUGGGUGGUAAAUUUCAUCUAAAGCUAAAUAUUGGCGAGAGACCGAUAGCGAACAAGUACCGUGAGGGAAAGAUGAAAAGAACUUUGAAAAGAGAGUUAAACAGUACGUGAAAUUGUCGAAAGGGAAGCGUUUGACACCAGUGUUGUUUAGUUCGAAAAUCAAUUCAAUAGUUUUUGAUUCUAAGUAGUAUUGACUUCAUCAGCUUGCUGCUUUCUUUUCCGAAAUUAUUGAAUGUACUUUUCAGUUAACAAGUCAACAUCAAUUUCUUUUGUUGUAAAAGGGUAAGAGGAAGGUGGCUUACGCUUCGGCGUAAGUGUUUAUAGCCUUUUACCUCUGCAAUCGGAGAGAUUGAGGACAGCAGCGUAGACUCCUUCGGGGGUUAGAUACACUUGUGCUAAGCUAUAGCCUUGUAUAGACAACUUGUUGACUAUGCUCAGUCAUGUAGCUUACUCGCUUGUGCUAUUUUACCUACGCUUAGGAUGUUGACAGCAGUAUAGACUGU
rnacentral:rRNA from 1 species